UCGAGGACUGUUAAAAGGAGAGUCAGCAGGCUUUUAAUUAAUUUUCUUAUCAUCUAUAGCUGCAUACCAAACAUGAGAGCAUAAAACAGGAAGAUGCACAAGCAGUGAUACAUAGAAAAGGCAAUUGAAUCGGGGGAAAAUUACUCCUAAGCCAAGGCAUUUGUCACGUCUCAGCAUACAGCUCAACUAUGGAAACAACAACAGCAGCAAAAAAGAGUUUAAA
rnacentral:lncRNA from 1 species